rnacentral:rRNA from 1 species
GAUGAACGCUGGCGGCGUGCUUAACACAUGCAAGUCGAGCGAAGCACUCUGUCCGGAUUCUUUCGGGAUGACGGACUUAGUGACUGAGCGGCGGACGGGUGAGUAACGCGUGGGUAACCUGCCUCAUACAGGGGGAUAACGGUUAGAAAUGACUGCUAAUACCGCAUAAAGACCACAGUACCGCAUGGGUACAGGGGUAAAAACUCCGGUGGUAUGAGAUGGGACCCCGCGUCUGAUUAGCUGGUUGGUGGGGUAACGGCCUACCAAGGCGACGAUCAGUAGCCGGCCUGAGAGGGCGACCGGCACAUUGGGACUGAGACACGGCCCAAACUCCUACGGGAGGCAGCAGUGGGGAAUAUUGCACAAGUGGGGGAAACCCUGAUGCAGCGACGCCGCGU